rnacentral:lncRNA from 1 species
AUGAAAUUUCAACCUGCCCAACACGAUUACUGGUCCACCUAGAAAUGCCGUGGAGCGAUUUAAGAGCCUCGGAAAUUUCCUUUAAGACUAGUCUCACUCUGUUGCCCAGGCUGGAGUGCAGUGGCGCGAUCUCAGCUUACUUCAGCCUCCGCCUCCCGGUUUCAAGUGAAUUCUCCAGCCUCAACUUCACAAGUAGCUGGGAUUACAGGGCAUUCAAGCAGCCCUGAGGAGAGGUCCACAUGGUGAGCCACUGAGGGCCUUGCCAAGAGCCAGCACCAACGGUCCAGGUUUGGAGUGUACCACCUUGGAAGUGAAUCUUCCAGUCCAGUCAAGCCUUCAGAUGACUUCAGAACCGUCCAUGUAAGCCACUCUUGGAUUCCUGACCCACAGAAACUGUUGGAGGCAUUAUCAACAGUUUCUAACAUCACAGACAGACAAACAUGUGCCUCCUGAUUGAAAAAACAGAACAUCACCUGUAGUCUUGCCAGUGAGAUCAAACUGAAGUCCAAUUAACCUCUGGAUCCAGCUGCCAAUUUGCAGGAAAUAGAGGAGAGAAGCAUCUGUUGAACUGCACCAUGAGUAUACACUCAGCAAAGGCCAAACUGUGGAAAAUGAUACAGGUCAAACAGCCUGGAUUCUUUAACAGUAAGUGAUGUUUCUGAAGCACCAAUGAAAAUGAAGUCCUGAAGUCCUGUGCUCAAUAUGAAAUGUUGGAAGUUAGAAGAAAAAAACAAAACUUGGAUCCAAUCUCAAGGCACUUUUUGUUUAAUGGGAAGAAGUGGAUUAUUUUAAAAGCUACAAAUAAAGUUACAUAAAAGUA